CUCUCUCUCUCUCUCUCUCUCUCUCUCUCUCUCUCUUCUGCAACGUGGGUUGGUUGCAGUGGGAUCCAGAGGUAGAGCCAGCAGUCAGAGCGAGCAGUUAGAAGACCUGCUACAGGUUUUUGUUGUUUCGUUUUGUUUUGUUGACAGAGCCUCGUGUUCUCUAGGCUGGCCUCAAACUCAUCAUGUAGCUGAGACUGACGCUGAAACUCCUAACCUCGAAUGUGCCUCCGAAGUGCUGAGAUUUCAGUCUCAGCUCCCAGCAUGCCAUCUUCCUACCAGACUGUGAGGCCCUGGAGUGGAAGGACCUCAGCUGGCCUGUGGCCCAACUCAGUCCUGGCCUGGAAAUGAGGACACCGAGGCUCCUGCAAGAGCCAGCCCACGUCGGACUUGGGUUUCCCUAGCCAGAAUGUUCACCAAGGAGCCCUAGACACUCAGCAUGGAUUGGCUGACCCAGCACUGUCCGCACAACAACCAUCAGGCCCGAAAGCACCACAUACAUACUGCUUACCCUUCUGUCUCAGAGGCGACCUCCCAUCUCCUAUCCCUCUUAGAGAUGGCCCAUCUCCCUGCAACCUGCUGCAGAGCUCUGUAACACGCCAAAGGUUUGGCCCCUACUCCUGUCUCUACCUCCACAGCCUGGGCCCUCUGUGUGGGUGUCCCUGAAAGAUGUCUUGUCCUCAGGC